rnacentral:misc_RNA from 1 species
CGCAGAUUGCGCCCUUUGGUAUUCCGAAGGGCAUGCCUGUUUGAGUGUCUUAUAAACCUCACCUCUAUAGUUUUCUAUAGUUGUGCUUUGGGUGUUGCCGUUUACUCUGGCUCGCCUUAAAUGUCUAAGUGGAAUGCGUAAUAAGUUCUCGCAACCCUCCACUCUAACACACUUUAUAUUCUGACCUCAAAUCAGGUAGGACUACCCGCUGAACUUAA